rnacentral:rRNA from 1 species
UACGGAAGGGGGCUAGCGUUGCUCGGAAUCACUGGGCGUAAAGGGCGCGUAGGCGGCCAUUCAAGUCAGGGGUGAAAGCCCAAGGCUCAACCUUGGAAUUGCCUUUGAUACUGUUUGGCUUGAGACCGGAAGAGGUCGGCGGAACUGCGAGUGUAGAGGUGAAAUUCGUAGAUAUUCGCAAGAACACCAGUGGCGAAGGCGGCCGACUGGUCCGGUUCUGACGCUGAGGCGCGAAAGCGUGGGGAGCAAACAGG